UACGUAGGGGGCAAGCGUUGUCCGGAUUCAUUGGGCGUAAAGAGCUCGUAGGCGGCUUGGCAAGUCGGGUGUGAAAACUCCAGGCUCAACCUGGAGACGCCACCCGAUACUGCCAUGGCUUGAGUCCGGUAGGGGACCACGGAAUUCCUGGUGUAGCGGUGGAAUGCGCAGAUAUCAGGAGGAACACCAAUGGCGAAGGCAGAUCUCUGGGCCGUAACUGACGCUGAGGAGCGAAAGCGUGGGGAUCAAACAGG
rnacentral:rRNA from 1 species